UACGUAGGGUGCGAGCGUUAAUCGGAUUUACUGGGCGUAAAGCGUGCGCAGGCGGCCCGUUAAGACAGGUGUGAAAUCCCUGGGCUCAACCUAGGAAUUGCGCUUGUGACUGGCGGGCUCGAGUACGGUAGAGGGGGGUGGAAUUCCUGGUGUAGCAGUGAAAUGCGUAGAGAUCAGGAGGAACACCGAUGGCGAAGGCAGCCCCCUGGGCCUGUACUGACGCUGAGGUGCGAAAGCGUGGGGAGCAAACAGG
rnacentral:rRNA from 1 species